rnacentral:tRNA from 1 species
GGUCCCAUGGUGUAAUGGUUAGCACAGCAGAUUCUGAUUCUGCAGAUCGCAGUUCGAUUCUGCGUGGGACCU